AAUGGUAUCAUAUAGAAUUGAUUUCUAUAGCUUGUCUUGAUUGUAUCGAGUUGUUUGUGGCUAGAUUCGAGUCAUUCGGAAUUCGAUUCGCAAGGCAAAGGCUCGUUGGAGUAGAGAUUUGUAUGGUUUGAGGGCUGAAGAUUCACGUACUUCUGGGCACAGUGGUUGCUAGCUUUGGAGCUUUAUCUAUUUGGAGACUAUUGGGGUAGCUGCCUUGGCGUACGCAGACCUCGACUAUCCCUUUAUUUGUAUUGUUCUAUCUUUCUAGAGAUUUAUUUUUAACAGUUAGACUGUUUUGUCAUAUAGAUGCUCAUGUACUCAGUGAUACCCGAAUUUUGGGGGAUUUUGUAUUGAGCCGCGGUAUUUUCUUAUCAGUUAAAUUAUGAGAUUUUUCACUAUUAAGGUUUUUUCA